GAGAACGAAAAAAAAAAUGUGGAAUUCUAGAUCAAGAGAGUGGAUGUACAACCGGAUUGAUCCAAGGAUAAACAAUAUCUCGAGAGAAUAUUCGGCGGGUGUUGAUGAGUUUAUCGAAUUUGCUUGUUCUCAACUACCAAUGGCCAAAAGAGGUAAAGAUAAAAUCUCGUGCCCUUGCAUAAUUUGUCAGAACGAGAAGUCUUUGAAAGCAGAUAUUGUUUCGACGUAUCUGCAUGGUAGAGGAUUUAUGCCACAUUAUUAUGUUUGGUCUGAACAUGGUGAAGAUUAUGAUGUUACUGGGGCAGGAACAAGUAGUCAUUAUGAUACUACAGAUUAUGCUAGCGGUAGUCAAUCAGUAGAGCAUAAUAUAGGGAAUGUAUAUGUUGGGAUGGUGAAUGAUGCAUUUCAGGGUUCAACGGCAAUUAAUGCAACUGAUGGAAGUGGAUAUUAUGUUCAGGAAGAACCGACUCAUGAGGCAAAAAGUUUUAUGACAUGUUAGAUGCUGCGAAUACUCUUAUUUAUGAAGGUUGUCGUGAAGGUCAAUCGAAAUUAUCAUUGGCUGCUCGAUUCAUGAAUUUGAAAGUAGACCAUAACAUGUCCGAAAGUUGCGUGGAUGGAUGGGCUGAGUUGUUCAGGGAGUAUUUACCAAAGGGUAAUCAAGCUACUGGUUCAUAUUACGAGACAUAAUCUUUGACGCGGAAGUUAGGAUUGUCGUACUAUACAUAUGAUGUAUGUAUAGACAAUUGUAUGAUGUAUUGGAAAGCAAACGAGAAUUUGGAGCAUUGUAAGUUCUGCGCAAAACCAAGAUACAAGACUAGUGAUGGACGAAUUAGAAUACCACUCAGUCGUAUGUAGUAUUUACCUAUUGGUGACAGAUUGAAGAGGAUGUAUCAAUCACAGAAAACUGCAGCAGCGAUGAGAUGGUAUGCUGAGCAUGAGUCACAAGAUGGAGUAAUGUGCCAUCCAUCUGAUGCAACAGAGUGGAAGAAUUUCCAAAAGCUGCAUCCUUCAUUUGCAGAAGAAAAGAGAAACGUUUAUCUUGGUUUAUGUACAGACGGAUUUAAUCCUUUUGGGAUGUCAAAAAAUCAGUCGUUGUGGUCCGUGAUCAUCACACCAUACAACUUGCCUCCAGACAUGUGCAUGAGAAGUGAGUAUUUGUUUCUUACGCUACUAAAUUCUGGACCAAAUCAUCCGGAGCAGGUAUUGAUGUUUUUCUCCAACCAUUAAUCGAGGAGUUAAAGGAAUUGUGUAGUAAUGGAGUGGAAGCGUAUGACAUUUCAUUAGAUCAGAAUUUCAACCUUAGAGCUGCUCUUUAUGGAUAAUCAGUGAUUUUCCUGCAUAUGGUAUGUUGUCGGGAUGGACUACACAUGGAAGAAUAUCGUGUCCGAUUUGCAUGGAUGAUACAAAGGCGUUUCAGUUUCCGGCUGGUAGAAAGACAUGUUGUUUUGACUGUCAUAGAAGAUUUCUUCCUGUAGGGCAUCCACUACGGAAAAAUAAAAAAGAUUUCUUGAAAGGUAAGCAUGCUUUAAACAACAAUCCACCUAAAUCUUUGACUGGUGAGCAAGUUCUGUAUGAGCGUAUACGGCAUGUGCGACCUCCUAAAACUUCUGAAGUUGGUGGAAAUGGUCAUGAAGUCAAGGUCGACGGAUAUGGUACAUGGCAAAAUUGGCAUAAGAAAAGUAUACUUUAGGAGUUAUCAUAUUGGCCGGAUUUGACGCUACGACACAAUCUUGACAUGAUGCAUAUCGAGAAGAAUGUCCAUAAUAACAUCAUGUAUACUGUUAUGAAUGUUAAAGACAGAUCAAAAGACAAUGUGAGGUCAAGAGUAGAUAUUGCACGAUUUUGUGAUCGGCCCAAAUUGCAUGUGGAUGAUCAGGGAAAAGCUCUAUUUCCUAUUUGGAGAUUGACGGCCAAAGCGAAACAAUGUUUACUAGAAUGGGUGAAAAAUGAUGUUAGAUUCCCUGACGGAUAUGUAGCAGAUUUAGCUAAUUGUGCAGACAUCAAAGGUGGAAAAUUCUCGGGUAUGAAAAGUCACGAUUGCCAUGUAUUUAUGGAACGGCCUCUCCCGUUUGUAUUUGCAGAACUGCUACCACGUAACGUUCAUCUUGCAUUAUCAGGGAUUGGAGCAUUUUUCCGGGACUUAAGUAGCAGAUCAUUAGAUAUAUCCCGCGUCCAAAUGCUCAAGACUAACAUAGUCAUGAUUUUGUGUAAUUUGGAAAAAAUCUUCCCACCUUCUUUUUUUGAUGUCAUGGAGCAUCUACCUAUACAUCUACCUUACGAAGCAGAGCUUGGUGGUCCAAUCCAAUAUAGGUGGAUGUAUCCUUUUGAAAGAAUGUUUAAGCGUUUGAAAGGCAAGGCGAAGAACAAAAGAUAUCCAGCAGGUUCAAUAGUUCAAUCAUACCUAAAUGAGGAGAUAUCUUUCUUCUCAGAACACUACUUUGCUUCAAACAUUUCUACAGCUAGGAUUCGAAGGGCAAAAUGAUAUGAUGCAGGUGAAGUGCCUAUAUAUCCUAUACCGGUACCGGAUAUAUUCACACAAGCUGGACGUCCUAGUGGUGUAAGUACUGAAAUUUGGUUAAGUGAAAAAGAUUACACAUGCAUAUGUUCUACGGAAUUGUGAUUACUUCCGGCCGCAUGAGAGAUUGUUAGAAGCGCAAAUUCGAUAUAAAUAUCCAGAAUUGUCUGAUGAAGAAGUCACAUCAAAAAGAGAUGAAGAUUUUGCUUCCUAGAUUCGACAAUAUGUUAAUACAAUGAGAGAUCAGGAGUCUUUUCCUCCAUGGGUUUAUGAUAUAGUCGAAGGUCCUGAAAAUUGUGUCAUCUCGUGGCCCAUUUAUUUUACAAGAGGUUACCUGUUUCACACCCAAGAUCACGGUCGUACGAAACUAUUCAGAAGAUUCAGAAGAGGAUGUUUUUUAUGGAAUCUUGGAAAAUAUCAUUGAACUUCAAUAUCCAG